UGAUCUGGAUAAUUGCUGGUGAAGUAAUUCAUUAGAGGAAAGUCCAUGCUCGCACUGCCUGUGAUGGUAGUAGUGUUUGUGCCAAAGGAAAAAAUAACUUUGGGUAGGUGGGAGCACCUAACGGCAGGUCAAAACCUAAAUCGUAAGACAUGGUCUAGACCUUGAAAGUGCCACAGUGACGUAGUUUAUAUGAAAGUAUAAAGUGGAACGCGGUAAACCCCUCAAGCGAGAAACCUAAAUUUGGUAAGGGAGGUUUAAGUAGAGAAACGAAUCUAACUUAAGCAUACUUCGGUAUAGAUAAAUAAUUAUCCUAGACAGAACAUGGCUUACAGGA
rnacentral:RNase_P_RNA from 1 species